CAUUGCUGUCCCAUGGACAGAGGGAACCAGAAUGUCAGACCAAGGAUGGGAAAAGAAAGGGUCCCCAGGUGCCUCACUUGUCCGCCAACGGUUGUUUCUGUCAUUCAUAUCGAGGAGGCUUCCUGCAGACCCAGCAACUGAGCCCUUGGGGGCACUGGACAGAAGCAGGUCACCAAAAGUCGGCAGUCCCUGGAGAGGUGGAAUACCUGUCCCUCCGGAGUAAGGAAGGAUCACCAGUCUGAGGGAGGAAAGGACCCAUACUUCUGGACAGAGUCAGAGGCUUCCAACCACCCUUUGUCCCACAAGUGGGAGGGGGCGACCGUGGCGAAGGGUCCCAGAAUGGGCAACCGGCAUGGGGGUGUCGACCGUGGGCACCGUUCCCCGCCUUUGGGUGCUCAGGGUACAAGGGGCCGAGGCCCCGCUCUCACCCACCCGCGCACGGACUCCAGCCCCGGGACCGACGGCAGUGGCGGCGCCCAUGCCCAGCGCAGGGGAGCGUCUGCAAAGUGUCGCGGAGAGAAGCGCCCACCCACCAGUAAGCGGGCGUAGCGGCAGAGGAGGGGGAGAACUGGAUGGCGGAGCGCGGAGACGUGGGCACUAACCGAAUCAGGCCUGCCGAGCCUGGGGCGCCUCUUCCUGGAGCCCAGCUGAUGCGGUUCCGGGGGUCCUCCGGGUGAGUGGCUAUGUGACCAGUGGGCCGAGAAAAGUCAGAAGGUAUGAGGCAGUAAGGAAAAUUGAAGUGAAAUUUGAGUCUCCUUUAAUGAUCCCUAAGUAGCUGAUUAAUACAUGCAUACCUUUAGUCUUAGCCGCUCCAACCUACCAUAACCUCCACCCACCCCCAUCCACGAAAAGGAUUAAAGGAAUAAGAGGACCAGGAUGUGAGAAUGGGUUGUGUGGUGGUUACUUCUCCGCAAAGUGUGGGUCAGGAAUAGCCCACACUGGAGCCACCUGUGGAACAGCUACACUCCAGUCCUUGCUCCUCAUUCCUCCAUGGCCUCAGUUUACUCACCUGUUCAGUGGGAAGUUACUCUUAAAAGCCUUUGAGAGGAUGUAGUUGUGUGACAUACCAAAGGCUCAGCCCAGAACCGGACCACUCUUGGAGCUUAAGAUCCAAGCGCUGUUGAUAUUAUUUGAAGUCAGUCGGUGUAGAUGCACAGCCUUUAAGACACUCCCCCUCUCCCUUCCGCCCCAAAAGAAGUCGUGUAAAGAGGCUAUCUGCAUAGGGCACAUACACACACACAAUCAGAGGAAAGGAGCAGCGAAGACAUGUUUAUUAGACCUACACUGCCUCUCCGGUUCACAAGCAGCAUCCUCUUUGGGGUUCUGAAGCCCUAAGAGGCAUGACUAGAAAGAGCACCGUUCAGAAACGCCCGCUACACACACGAAGGUUCCGAGGCUGGAGUCUGCAGCUGUAAAGGGAGAGCGCAAGGGGUGGGGGUGGCGCUUGGCCAACGAGAAGGACCUGCAAAAGGACAGUUUCCAGCUGCGUGCCAUUCACAAGAGCCAUUCCUUUGCUUUGAGUGACCCGUAAAAAGCUAGAUACUGUGAAGUCUUCCUCACGUCUCAUAAAUGGGGGAAUCAAUGUCCAAAGAAGACGUUGCCAGAUCCCGUAAGCACUGCAUAAAACUGGUUGAAACAGAAGAAUCAGAAGUUCAAGGUUAUCUUCUCCAAUAUAUUGAGUUGGAGGCCGGCCUGGGCUACAUGAAAUCGCAUCUGAAAACAAGGAUGGAGAGCAGCUGUGAUUCUUGCCAGUGACCCAGCAGGGGAAAGUAAGGUCUCCAGAGGAGACCAGCCAUUCCUAGGCAGGAAACCCUAACUAAGACAUCUGCCAAUCAGCCUGAGUCUACAGAAGCGGCAAGAAGCCACUGGAAUCUGACGUCACGAGAAGUUCCUUGGUGAGUUAAUCUCUAUGAAGUCAUGACAAGAGAACACUUGCCACG
rnacentral:lncRNA from 1 species